AGAAACGUGCUUGUUUUUUGUUCUGAUCGAGUGUAGCACAUACUUUUAAAUUUCAAGAAAUUUGAGAUCUAUUCGUACAAUGAGUGAGGGAGUGAGUGAGUAUGGUUUUACGCCGCUUUCAGCAAUAUUCCAGCAAUAUCACGGCGGGGUACACCAGAAAUGGGCUUCACACAUUGUACCCAUGUCGGGAAUCGAACCCGGAUCUUCGGCGUGACGAGCGAACGCUUUAACCACUAGGCUACCCGACCGCCCCUAUUCGUACACUGGAAGCUUAUAAUUAGAAAAAUCAGUAUUUCUGGCCGUUGAUGAUGCUCAUUAUCCAUGCAGGUUCCCCUCGAAUAGAUAGAAGGGGUGCAUCUUCCGUUGGGGACAUGGGAAUUCAAAUUCACGGAGAAAAGAGGACACACGUGGAAACUUCACAACAAAAUCUUCGUUUGUAUACAUAUCAAUAUUUACUAAAUCAUGCAUUCGAAAAUACUUCCCUUCAGGAGGAUUAUCUCAGUAUAGUUUUAUUCAAGAGUUAGUAAGAGGUAAUGAACUGGAUAAUAUUAUAUUAUAAACAGGUGUCACUUCUACAGUCUUUAAAUUUAAAACUGCAUGUCUAAUGUUAAAAAAUUGUACAUUAUCACCCAUAAACAUAACAUCCUUCUUUGGACAAAGUUUGUUGAAACCGUCUCAAUGUGUGUCUAACCUUAGAUUCAUGCAUACAAAUAUUAGCCUUUGCGGAUGUAAAUGAAGCACCAAGUUCUCGCCAUGUGUAUAUGCAUUUGUUUGUGUCAUGUUAUUCCUUGAUGUUCAACAGAAAAGUUUCUAUUUUCAGGGUCACCUUUAACUUAUCAUGAGUCUAUACGACAACUUUAUGUAGCAUGUCCUAUACUUUAUAUGCACGCUGACCGGGCCAACCGACAGCAUUGCCAUGUAACUCAAGACUGCCAUCUGGUGAACCGGCCAACACGGCAAUGGAGCUGGGGCCAGCUGAUGCAGUACCGUGGCACCACUAGUACCCACAGCCUCAAUCAUGGAAGUGAUGUUGUUCAAUACUGGGAGACACAUUCUGUUGUGAAGAUGGGUAGAGGUGUGUUGGAAUCAGGCGAUUCUAUCUUGGAGAUGGGUAUUGCAGAGGUAGGUUCUGUAGACGGUAACUACCAUAUCAGAUGUCAGCCCCGAUACUGGUGUGUCAGUGUGAGCUGCUGCAACUUACAUCGACCAGUGAUCUGUACAUCCAUUUGGCAAGAGGGGAGGCAGGAUGUGCGCCAAACUAUCAGAAUGCAUCACUCGCCCGGGACAGAGACUACCCUGCACUAUGGUAUUGCAGUGGAUAUAUGGAGAGGGAGGAUCGUCUUUAUCGAUGUAGCCACAGGGGCUGUUUUAGCCAAGCUGGAUACGCGGUUUCGAGAAAGUCUUUUCCCUAUGUUUGGCAUAUCCGCACGUCAACAUUACUGUGCCGUGAGGAUGACACUGAUCAGCGGGAACGACCUCCACUUGACGGACAGGAAGCGAUGGCUCAUCCAUGAUGCAAUGUCUCAUUGACAAACCACACUAUCAGACAUGCGAAAUGAUCUUUAUAGAGUAAGCCAUGCGCAGGGUGCCAUAUACGGCGAUAUCGACUCACUUAACGUUAAAGUUGAACUUGUAGAGACAAGGCUCUGAGAUCAACAGGAUGAAUCGUUUGAUAGCUGUAAAGACAGAAUUUCUCUAUCCUUAACGAUCAGGGGCGGUCGGGUAGCCUAGUGGUUAAAGCGUUCGCUCGUCACGCCGAAGACCCGGGUUCGAUCCCCGACAUGGGUACAAUGUGUGAAGCCCAUUUCUGGUGUACCCCGCCGUGAUAUAGCUGGAAUAUUGAUAAAGAACGGUAAGCUGAUUAUGAGGCCUGGGACUCCUGAAAACAACUCAAGACUAAACUCAAGCCGAAGGUACCCCCGGGCUAGACCAGCGCCCUUGUGCUCCUGUGACACCACCUGGCUGCGGUGAUACGAUGGAUAAUAGCUAGGGGCCCAUAACUUUGAAUACUUAUCAGUGCAAAACAUGCCAGUGUCCCUUCAGACUUCAAACUUUAACCUUGGUAUAUUGAAGGCUUUGCAGCAAAAAUAAGAUUCUGAAUUUAUGGAAAAUAUAUAAACGUUCGAAAUAAUAUUUUUUUGUAUGCCUAGUCGAAACUUUCAUUGACAAAGAAGAAGCCAUACCUCAGCUCUCUACUUAUGGUAUGUCUAUCGCUAAAGGCCAUUGGCUAGCUAAGGCUGGUUGACAUUCCGGCGGUGUAAUCUUGUUGGUGAAGAACACAAUAACUACAUACUGCUACAAAAAUUACACUUGACAUUGAUAACGUUGUAGGCUUAAAGACUGAUAAAACACUUUGUGGUAGCAGAGUUAUUUUACUGUUUGGAAUGUAUGCCCUAUCGAUUCAACACUGUGUGUGGCAACUGAUAAGACAACGGCUACAGAGAAAGUUGGCCAGUGGCUGACUGAGCAUGCUGACCACGACUGUGAGAUCAUAUACGGGGACCUGAACACUCGUGUAGGUGGGGAUAAUAACCCACCAGAGACACACACUAACCAGGCCUCGAUACCACGGCCUUUCCCGAGGAACAGUCACCUCCUAUUAAUCAUAGACAG